CGUACAUCUCAGCGGCCACUGCUGCUAAGGACGCCUUCGGUUACUAACUUGUAGGGGCGGGGGUGCACUCGGUGACGUCAGAGGCCCAGCGCCGAGUGCGCACGCGCACUUGUGGAACGCGCAAGGACUUGUCUUCUGGAAGCUUUGCUCUUUUCACUGUCAGUGAGGCGCAGUCAAGAACGCGUAUUAACAGAAUCUAGUGGUAAUUGCUUUAUGAAUCUGGGAGCUCCAGACUUAGGUUUCUGAUGUCAUUUCUUCAUGAGCAGAUCUUCUGAGAUUUGAGUAAGUAUCUUUACGAGUACUUUUUUCUACCUUAUUUGACUUGUCAAAUACGUCAAAAUAUGAUUGACUGGCAUGCCAGCAAUGAAUGGAUAAGAUGCCACACCUAGAUGUCUGUGGCAGAGUCUUCUUACUACAAUGAAUAUAUUGUUUGACAAAUGGAAAUGCAUAGUAUAUUUUUAAAUUUCUUUAGUUUUCCUUCAUCUGUUGACUCAGUAUUCAUGUUUUAUUUUGUGGAUUUCAGAUUCACAGAGAUACAUUAGUUUCACUUUUUAAAUUUUCAGAGUCUAUUGACAUGAAUAUAAAUAAAAUGAUGAUAUAAAAUAGUAUGGAAAUGAGUAACAUUAUAAAAGUUGUUUCAGUCAUCUUAAAAUAUUUUUCAGUGAAACAUUUGGGGCAGUAUUUUCAGUGAACUAUUCAUACUUUAGAAUAUGCUAUACAUUAUGUUAAAUAAGGGAAGUGAAAUACUGGAAGCAAAUUCUGAUGAACUUUCUGAAUUAUAACUUAGAAACAGACAAAACAACACCACAAACAUUUUUAAUGUAUUUUUAAAAAGAUCGAUUAUAUAUUGUAUAUAUUUAAGAUAGAUAAUUCUUAAGGUUUUAAAGGCAUAUACAAAUAAAUGCCUAUUAUAUAUGUAUAUGUAUAUUCAAUGUUUGUUCAUUUUGUCUCCCUAGAUCCUUAUUUUCUUAUUUAGUUAAAAAGAAUUUUAGUUAAAACAUGCACUAUACAUAUACAUAUAUGCAUAUUAUAUAUGUAUAUGCAUUUAAAAUCUUGAUAAUUAUCUCUCUUAAAAUUCUUUUUAACUAAAUGAGAAAACAGAGUUCUAGAGAGAUAAAAUAAUUUGCCCAAAAUCACUCAGUCACCUCGUUAGUAAAGUCUUCAGGUUGUUGCUUUAAAUUGUUUUUUUUAAAUCUCCAAAUCCUGUUUUCUUUCUACUAGAAAAUUGAGUUGAUCCCUAAACUGAUUAACGUCAUAAUGUGCUUUUUUUACACAAAAGACUAAAUAAAUAUUAAUCAUUCUGCUAAUUUUAACUAAGGAAAUCCUAUAUAAUAUCACCGUAUUUAUCAAGCCACAUAGGUAUAAAUAUGACACUUGUGAAUUGAAAAUAGUUGAACAAGGAAAGGAGCCUGUGUGUGUUUGUGUAUGUUAGUUAUGCAUUGUUCCAAAACAACUACAGUACUCCAAAUCAUAGUAGCUUAAAACAAUUUACAAUGUAUUAAGCCUCACAAAUCAUCAGUUUAAUUGGAUGUUUCCUUUUCUGUUUUUACCUGUGCUCCUUCAUGCUGCUAAGUCCAGCUAAGGGGUUGGAUGGAGGUUCAGCUGUAAUGCCUAGAUGUCUGGGCCUCUCUCCAUGUGUUUUUUAUUCUCAAGGAGACUAGAUUAGUCUGGCCUUCCUCACAUGUGAUGUUUGCAUUUCUAAGAGAGUGCAUGGUUUCAUGACUAUAGCUUAGAAGUUUCCCAUUGUCAUUUCUGACAUGUUCCAUUGGUGAAAGCAAGACUCAAGACCAGAUUCAGAGAGGUAGACAAAUACAAUUCAUCUCUCAAUGGAAAGAGUAGAAAUGGCACAUUGUACUAGGGUUUUCAAACCAGGCCAUGAUUGCAACAAUCAUAUUUACUUUAAAGUAUGAAUUCAAAUAUAUUAAUAAAACUGUAUUUCAAAAUGAGUUUUAUGAAGUAAAGUUUUUAAUACAUAUUAUGCAAUUUCCUGUUUUUCUCUCAUUAUGAGAUGCCUUUAGCAAUUAUAUUUGGUUCUUUGUUAUUCUCUUUCCUUCUUCUUUGGAACACCUUUUAAAUAUAUAUUACUUACUUGGGAAUUUAUAAAUCUGUUUUACAGUGUCAGUUAAUGUCACUGCAUCAAACUCUAAAUAUCUAAAACUAGACUUACCCAUUCCUAAUUCUCUGUCAAUGCUACAACUCCUUUUCAGGUUCCCCCUCAAUCAGUAAUUCGGAAUGGCAUGUUUAAAUGUUAGCAAAUGAACAAUUUUUUUCCCCAAAAGAAAUCUUACAUGAAAUCUCAGUAAAUAAAAUUAUAAUCAUGGUGAUUAGUGAGUGUAAACUUAUUUGUAAGAUAACAUUAUUUAUUAUAUUUCAGUCAAUGAGAAAACUGAAGCAGUUUAGAUAAAAAUACUUGCAAACAAAUCACAGUUGCUUUAUAUUGUCUUUUUGGUUUGUUUUGGUUGCAUAGGAAAGGUAAAAUCCUGAUUCAAAUGGGGAAACAGCUACAAAUGCUAACUUGAAAUAUCAAGAUAUUUUUUAACCUGAAAUAAAUGCCUACAACAAAUGUAAUGGUAAAGUAUAUGCUUCGAAGUAGAAUUCCUAUGAAGAACAAAACUACUGGUACUCUUUAUAAUUAAUCUGAAAGAUAAGCAGUACCUCAAAGUCUGAAAAAUAAAAAAAUAGGACACUGUUUUCAUGACAGGGCUUGUAUUCAUAUAUAAUUGAUAACUAUUUACUGACCUAGAUGUAGAUGAUCCUGAGUCUUGGUUAGAAGUCAUUCCACUAACUUUCAUGGAUACAUUUGUCAUCAGAAGUAACCAAGAAAAUAUUUUCUUAUCCGUUUUGUACUCAGGCAAAGGGUAUACUGUGACAGAUUUAUUUAAUUGUACAGCUAUUUCAAUUUUAACAAUGUGGACACACACAAGUCUAUGUGUACACACAGGAAAUAUUCUUUCUUAGCCUGUAUCAAAGGUAGCAGCUUCUUAACCCAGGAUAAAAUCCCCCAGACAUACCAUAUAUAAAAAUUGGGUGAGUAAAGACUUUGCUUAGUCUCUACUACCAGUUGGAGCCAAAUCAAACUCAUAGGUUUUGUGUAAAAAUCUAUAUAUCUGGCUCCUUAAUAAUUGUCUAACCUCAUAUUUCACCCUUUCAAAUUCACCACACUUCUUUUAUAGUCUGUCAUGUAGAGCAGGUUAGUUUUCAUUCUAUCCCCUACUCUGUUGUUUCUCCUGCUUAUAAUGUUCUCAUAUUUCCCUCUCAACAAAAAGUAAAUAUUUUGCAUAUGUAUAUAUGUUUGUUUGUAUUCACUAUUUACUUAUUUAAUGUGUGGUUCAGAAAAGUUUCAUCUUAUAUGGGAGAGUAAAUUUUAAGGUCAAAAUUACCCUUGAAAAUUUCUUCAUUUCUCAUCAUUGCUUCUAAUCACAUUUUAUUUUAUUUGCCAAUAUUGUGAAGUCAUGCUUUUUGAAAAAUGCCAAGCUACAAAUGUAGAAUAAUUUUCACUCCAAUGUGGUAUUAAUGUUGACAGAGGGAUGAAAUAAACAGAGCAAGUAAGGGAACAACAAUUUUCUACUCACAUUGUACACACCUAGAAUUCAUGCUCAUCAGGGAGACGACUAAGCGAAUGAACAUCACUUAUACUAUUUCUCUAUCCUAGCAUACACAUACAGAUUAAUUCAGUAAUUUAAUAAAUGUACAAUUUGAUGUCACCAUUAUCUCCUUUCUUUAUAUAUCAUGUAUCCUAAAUAGCUAAAUGAUCAUAGGGCUAUAGCAUGUUCUCUAUCCAGUUUCUACAGAACAUCAAGUGCAAUACAAAACACAAAGUUCUCAGUAAUAAUUGAAGCAUUGUUAAAGCAAGAAUUAAUUUAACAUAUCAACAAUCUAUCAAGAAGCUUGUAUUUUGAAUUUUAAUAAUAUAAAAGUUGACCUUUUGAAAUAAACUCAAGAUCACCAAAUAUUACCUUUAAACAUAAAUAUUGGUUAAAUGUGUAAACCAAAUCUCAGAGUUGAAAAUUAAUGAAUUACUAAUGCCUUUUUAUUAAGAAGCUUGGGGAGAAAAACCAAUAAAACACCACAUAUUAAAAAAAUAUAUGUAUACAUAUAUAUUUGCUAUAUAUGUGAUCAAUUGAUUUUCAACACAGAUGCAAAGACAAUUUAAUAGAGAAAGGAGAAUCUUCAAUAAAUAGUGCUGGAACAAUUAUACAUCCUUAUGAAAAACAAAUACCCUAAAUCCUUACUUUCUAAUUUACACAAAAAUUACCUCAACAUGAAUUACAGAAGUAAAAUUCCUUUGAGUCUUAACUUACAGAAAACAUCAAAGACUAUCUUUGUGACUUUGGAUUAGUCAAAUAAUUCUUAGAUAACACAGUAAAAGUGUGACUUAUUAAAAAAAGAGAAGAUAAAUUUGGCCUUCAUGUACACUAACAGCUUUUGCCUUUUGAAAAAUAUGUAACAGAAUGAGUAAGUCAUUGUUAAGGACAAAAUAUUUUGAUGUUAUAUACUUAAAAAGGACAUGUAGCAAUAGUAUAUAUAAAAACUCAUUAAAGUUUAAAUAAGAAAAACAAAUUUAAAAGAAGCAAAAUAUUUUAGCAGACAUUUCAUCAAGGUAAAAAUAAAUAUAUAUGGCAAGUAAACACAUGAAAAUAUGUUUAAUAUCAUUAGUCAUUACCUAAGUGCAAAUUAAAAUUGCAAUGACAUACUACUACACAUCUAUUAAGAGUGUUACAAUAAAAUAAAUAAAUAAAUAUUUAUACAAGCUGAAAAGAAUGUAUUUUGCUGGUGAGAAUGCAAACUGGUACAGCCUAUUUUGAAGUCAGCUUGUCACUUUCUUAUAAAGUUCAAUAUAUAGUUACCACAUGACCAGAUACCCAACUCCUGAAUAUUUAUCCAAGUAAAUGAAACAAGUUUACACAAGUUUACACAAAAAUCUAAAGACUAACCAUAAAGAUUUUAGUGACUUUUUUUCAUAACCACAAAACUGUAAACAACUCACUUGUAUGUAAUGAAAUAAUCACAGCAAUUAAACAAACUGUUGAUAUACAAAGUAAUAUAGAUGAAUCUUUGAUGUAGUAUGCUAAAUGAAAGAAGCCAGACUCAAAAGGCCGCAUGCUGUAUUAUUUCACUUAUAAGAAUGUUUGAGAAAGGCAAAACUAUAGGAGCAAAAAACUAAAUGUUUACAGGUGUGUUUUUUUCUGAGACUUAUCUUCUUGGCUUGUCCAGGACCAUCUUCUCCCUGUCUUUGCUUGGCCUUUCCUCUGUGACCCAGUUCCUGGAUGUCUCUCUUUGUGCUCAAAUUUUCUCUUUGUAUAAGCACACAAAUUAGAUUGGAUUGGGGCACAUGCUAACUUCCUCAGUUUAAUUUACUCACCUCUAUGAAGGAACUAUCUCCAAAUAUUCUGAGGUACUGGAAGUAAAGUCUUAAUUGUAUAAAUUUGGGAGAACCACACUUUAGCCCAUAAUAAUGUGUUUGUCAAAAGUUACAGAAUUUUUUAGAUCAAGAAUGUUGGAAUGAUUUCAUUUGCAUUACACCUUAAUAAUAAAAAAUUUAAAGAUCAUAAUCAACCCCAUUGGAAUUGAGUUGACCUGCAAAAACGUAGUUACAUCCUGAAGGAAAUACAGGACCUUUUCUACAUGUACUAGGAUAAACUAGGAAGAGACAUUAAGGCUCGAUUCUUGGGACUACUGAAAAAGGUGACAUUAUAAAUUUAAAUUUACAUAAAAGAGGGGAAAAAUUGAGAUAAGAGCAUUGCAAAGAUAAACAGGUUCUAAACAGCAUAGUAAAACCCUGACAAAUGAUGAAAACUUGCUACUAGGAUUCCUCCUGUAUGUAUCAGUAUAAUUAUUGUUAAUGUUAUAAUUUUAUUAUUAUUGUUAUAAUUUAAUUAUGAUACUCCUUGGCAUGUUUUUUAUUGAUGUUUGUCCCUGGAGUUGUCUGAGUUGCUCAGAUCUGUACCUUUGUAUAUGUCAUGAGCCUAAGAAUAUAUUCAGCCAAUACCUAAUGUCUCGUCAAAAUUUUUUUUUUCUAACACAACUUUAUUUUCUUCUGGUACCCCAAUUACACAUAUAAUUGAUCUUUGAAUAUUAUCAUAUAGGUCAGUGAGAUUGGUUCUAAUUUUUUUCAGCAUUUUGUCUUUCUUUGCUUCAGUUUGUAUAGUUUCUACUUUUUUACUCCUGAUUCAUUGUUCUUUUCCUCUAUAGUUUUUAAUUUAGUGUAAAGAUUCUUCAGUGUUUGUUUUAGAUAUUAUGGUUUUUCAGUUUCAUAUUUUUCCAGUUUUUUUGUUAUAAUCUCCAUUUCUCUAUUGAGAUUCCAUAAUUGUUUUGUUCUUAUGAUUAGGUGUUGCCUAAAAAACUUGAACUAAUUUUUAAUAGCUGUUAUAGGACAUCUGCUAAUUCUGACAGAUCCGUCAUUUUUAGUAAUGAUUAAUGUUUCUCCUGGUUAUGGGUCUCAUUAACUGCUUUUUGCAUGUUUUUAAUUUUUUUACUUUAUAUUGAGCAUUACAAAUAUCAUCUUGAUUAUUUGGAUUUUGUUGUUUUCCUUAAUAGAGAAAUCUUUACUUGAGGGCUUCAGUAGACCUACCACUAAAAUGUAGCUUCUCUGCUACCUAUUGUCGUAAAUAAUAGCUGGCUAAUUAGAAUUAAAACAUCUGUUCUGUGCAAGCUGAAACAGUUGUUCAGCUCAUGACUUCCUAGUAGUUGCGCUUCCUCUAGCAGUCAUUCUCUAGCCUUUGGGAGUGCCAGCUUACACAUGUUCCACUUGGUAUUCAGCCAAAGACUGAAGGCGAUUCAUGCAGAUUUCUUAAACUACUUCUUCACACACAUAUAUUCUCUCUUGUACACUGCUCUGAAAAUUUCAGCUAGCUCGGUAGCCUCAAAUUCCCAUCUUUUUUCUUCUCAGCUAGUGACACCACUCUUGGGCUUCCUUUGGCUAGUCAGGAGCAUGCAUUCACACAGAAAACCAGUAUAACCAUGUGGCUAACCUAUUUUGUUUACUUUCUCUCAGUGAUUGUAGUCUUGUGACACCUAUUAUCCAAUGUCUGGAGACAGUUCAUGUAUUUCCCAGUUUUGCAGGUAUUUGUGGUGACAGACCAGGUCCAGUAGCAGUUAUUUCUGAUAGUAGAAAGUGAGUCAUAAAACUGUACUCUACUACAUAGAUGUUGGUAACACAGCAGGGCAGAAGCUCCAACAUUUAAUAUACAUGUAUCAUAGUAUCCACAGCAGGAGGAUAAAAUUGGAAAUAUUAACUAAAAAUUGUCUCCAAAUUAUACAAACUCCUUUUGCAGACAACAAGUUAACAUUUCUAAGAAAUACGUAGUUACAGGCAUCAUGAAUAUGUAAAAAGAAUGAAGUUGCAUGUUAAUGUGUCCUUAUUUAAGGCAUAAUCAGAAUAAAAGCAUUGUGCAGAAAUUUAGACAGCAAAGAGUCAGGAAUAAACAGGUUCAGAUACUCAAGUUUGUGUAUCCAAGUCUUAUAGAUACCAUGGGCUUAGUUAGGCAGAGAAGCACAUCAAGAUGAGAGGUUAAGCAUAAAAAAUCUCAAUGCAGAUUUUACAACGCCAAGGAAUGAUCAAUAUAAGACACACCAUGGCUUUUGUUGCCAAUGCUUUUGGUCAUGAAGUCCUUGCCUAUGCCUAUGUCCUGAAUGGUUUUGCCUAGAUUUUCUUCUAGGGUUUUUAUGGU